rnacentral:rRNA from 1 species
UGGCGAACGGGUGAGUAACGCGUGAGGAACCUGCCUCAAAGAGGGGGACAACAGUUGGAAACGACUGCUAAUACCGCAUAAGCCCACGACCCGGCAUCGGGAAGAGGGAAAAGGAGCAAUCCGCUUUGAGAUGGCCUCGCGUCCGAUUAGCUAGUUGGUGAGGUAACGGCCCACCAAGGCGACGAUCGGUAGCCGGACUGAGAGGUUGAAUGGCCACAUUGGGACUGAGACACGGCCCAG